UGACUGCUAAUACCGCGUAAGACCACGGAGCCGCAUGGCUCAGUGGGAAAAACUCCGGUGGUAUGAGAUGGACCCGCGUCUGAUUAGGUAGUUGGUGGGGUAACGGCCUACCAAGCCGACGAUCAGUAGCCGACCUGAGAGGGUGACCGGCCACAUUGGGACUGAGACACGGCCCAAACUCCUACGGGAGGCAGCAGUGGGGAAUAUUGCACAAUGGGGGAAACCCUGAUGCAGCGACGCCGCGUGAGCGAAGAAGUAUUUCGGUAUGUAAAGCUCUAUCAGCAGGGAAGAAAAUGACGGUACCUGACUAAGAAGCACCGGCUAAAUACGUGCCAGCAGCCGCGGUAAUACGUAUGGUGCAAGCGCUAUCCGGAUUUACUGGGUGUAAAGGGAGCGUAGACGGCUGUGUAAGUCUGAAGUGAAAGCCCGGGGCUCAACCCCGGGACUGCUUUGGAAACUAUGCAGCUAGAGUGUCGGAGAGGUAAGUGGAAUUCCCAGUGUAGC
rnacentral:rRNA from 1 species